rnacentral:rRNA from 1 species
AGCGAACGCUGGGGCAGGCCUAACACAUGCAAGUCGAACGAACCCUUCGGGGUUAGUGGCGGACGGGUGAGUAACACGUGGGAACGUGCCUUUAGGUUCGGAAUAACUCAGGGAAACUUGUGCUAAUACCGAAUGUGCCCUUCGGGGGAAAGAUUUAUCGCCUUUAGAGCGGCCCGCGUCUGAUUAGCUAGUUGGUGAGGUAAUGGCUCACCAAGGCUACGAUCAGCAGCUGGUCUGAGAGGAUGACCAGCCACAUUGGGACUGAGACAAGGCCCAAACUCCUACGGGAGGCAGCAGUGGGGAAUCUUGCGCAAUGGGCGAAAGCCUGACGCAGCCAUGCCGCGUGGAUGAUGAAGGUCUUAGGAUUGUAAAAUCCUUUCACCGGUGAAGAUAAUGACUGUAGCCGGAGAAGAAGCCCCGGCUAACUUCGUGCCAGCAGCCGCGGUAACAC